ensembl:lncRNA
GGAAGAUGUCAACUCCACGGAGCAUCAAGUGGUUACCUUUUUACGGUCCAAAGGUGUGGAAGUGGAUUAUAACAACAUUGAGGCUUGCCACCCUCUACCCCGAAAAAAUGACAGUGACAAACCAGCCAUCAUUGUGAGAUUUGCAAACAGAAAACAGAAAACAGCACUGUUAAAACAAGGAAGGAAACUGAAAGGAUCCGAUGUCUUCAUGAACGAACAUCUGAUAAAAAGAAAUGCGGACAUUGCCAGGAAAGCACGUUACUUGAAGAAACAGGGAAAAAUUCAAAAUACAUGGACCACCAACUGCAAAGUAUUCAUUAAACUCAAUGGAACACCGGAACAAGUGUUGGUCAUCAGAAAUAUGGAGGAGCUGGACAAAUACUGAGGUCAACUUACUCUGGAGCCUUGUUACUUCCCGGACUGAUUAUUGUAACUCACUUCUUUCUGGUCUUACUCAAACAUCCACCCACAAGCUCCAACGCGUCCAGGACUCUGCUGCUCGUAUCAUCACCAGGACCCCUUCUGUCCACCACAUCACUCCUGUCCUGCAGCAGCUUCAUUGGCUCCCGGUCGCAUCAAUUUCAAAAUACUCUUGUACACAUUUAAGGCUGUUCAUCAUCUCUCUCCUCCAUAUCUCUCUGACCUGGUUAAGAUCACCGCCCCAUCUCUGUGUCUCACAUCUUCUUCUUCCCUUUCACUCUCCGUCCCCUCCCCCCGUCUUGCCACCACGGGGAGCUUUCAGCUGCUCCACGACUCUGGAGUUCCCGACCUCCUGAUUUAAGAAACAUCUCUUCCUUCUCUCUCUUUAAGUCCAAGCUCAAAUCCCAUUUGUACAAAAUAAAUGUACCCACAUACCCACAUAACCUCUCCACUCUGCUAUUUUAUUUAUGUCUUGUGCUUUUAUGAUUCUGUAAACUGCUUGCUUUUAUGUUGCUUUAUUCUACUCUGUACAGCGACCUUGAGUGUUUUGAAAGGUGCUUUCAAAUAAAAUGUAUUAUUAUUAUUAUUAUAUUUCAUGAGCUGUCCUGGCUGAUUUCCACCCUCUACACCAGGGGUGGGCAAUUAAUUUUUACAAGGGGCCACAUGAGAAACCUGAGUUGCAUCAGAGGGCCACAUCAACAACAUCUUGA